rnacentral:miRNA from 1 species
UAGGGUGACCAACUCUCCUGGUUUGCCUAACACCGUCUAGUUUUAGCACUAAAGUCUGGCAUCCGGGGGGACCCCCCCACCCGAGUCCUGGACAAGCCAGGACAGUUGGUCACUCUGUUCUUUA